AUUUAUUUCCUGCUACAAAUUAAGAGCACCAAUUUUCUCUUCUAUUUAAUUUUCCAUUCCUUCAUACUAGAUUUGUUUUGGUGUAACUGCGAGCACAAUCAGACCUAGAAGAUUUGUCCAGGAAGAAAAAAAUCCUGUUGGAUCAAUAUCAUGACAACAAUUCCCAAACUUUUGAUUUGUUAUCAGAUACACCAAUGCUUUGAAAUGGCUGCAGACUAGAUGAGCAAGUGAAUAUAGUUCUGAAGGGAGGUCUUGCAGAGCAUCUGAAUCCUAUCAAGCCUGCUGAGCAAUGACAAGUGGUACACAGAGUACCGUAGCUUAGUAUCCCAGUGAGAGAGAGUCACAACAUUUCAUGCCAGGGAGAUGAAGGCAAGAAGUCUGCCACCUGGAAUGAUUACACCCAGGGAGUGGAAGGAUUCAAAACAUGUUAGUAGCCCUAAAGCAAGAAGUCUACAUCAAUCACCAUUCAGGAUUUUAUUUCACUGAGAAUUAAGCACACAUUUAAAGUUAGCAUAUGCUGAAAUGUUUUCCUGAAUAGGAAUAGGUUCCUGAAUUGGGACCAAGUAAUUGGAUUAUCUAUGCUUUUACCUCACUAAUAAAGCUAUGACGAGCAGUGAUCUUUCAUGCUAAGAUAGCAGUCCUUUUCCAGACACUUAACCCUCUCAAGGAAAUUCUUGAACCUCAACCUAUGAAUACUGAGAUAAUUUUCCAGACAAUUGCUUGCCAAUUUUUCCAGGUCAUAGUGCUUGACUUGCAAAACCCUCAGUCAUUUAUUAGAGAUGGUGGAAAAUUUUCCACAGAAAAGUGUUUUCAUAAGAAAUUGCUGUUUUGCUGAAAUCAAAAGUUUUUUCUGGUCGCAAAUCAGUUUUGACAACAAUUUGUCAUAGAAUAAAAAAAGCAUU